GAGGCACGCUGGCGGCGUGUCUUAGCCAUGCAAGUCGAGCGGACUUAUGGGGUAACUUAUAAGUCAGCGGCGGACGGCGGAGUAACACGUAGCUAACCUACCCUCUGGACGGGGAUAACCUACCGAAAGGUGGGCUAAUACCCGAUGUAGUCAUCCUGUAUAGGGGUGAUGAAAGGUGGGCUUCUGUUUACAAGCUCAUGCUGGAGGAGGGGGCUGCGGCCUAUCAGGUAGUUGGUGGGGUAAUAGCCUACCAAGCCGAUGACGGGUAGCCGGCCUGAGAGGGUGACCGGCCCGAGGGGCACUGAGAUACGGGUCCCACUCCUACGGGAGGCAGCAGGCUAGAAAUUUGGGCAAUGGGGAAACCCUGACCCAGUGACGCCGCGUGCAGGAAGGAGCCCUUCGGGGUGUAAACUGCUGUCGUGUAGGGAGAAGGGUACUAAGGUGAACAAUCUUAGUACUUGACGGUACUACAGGAGGAAGCCCAGGCUAACCUCGUG
rnacentral:rRNA from 1 species